CCGAAAGCAAAUAUAUUGCGGCAGUGGACUCGUCGAGUUGUAGGCUGUGUGGUACCCGACCGUAUGAUUUGAACCAGUCAACGCCACUCUGAUUGGCUGAGGCAGCAAGUCAUCAUAACCAAACCAGUAAACGCCACUCUGAUAGGCCGAGGCAACACGCCAAGCAUUCGGCACGUAUACUUCUGAAGCAAGUGGACGACGUUCGGCUCUGUUCAGCUAAAGCAAAAUCAUCGUUUUCCACUCAGUUUAAGGUGCUGCAAAUUGCAAGAAUUGGAGGGUAGAACACCAAGGACUGUGUCCACAAUGUCCUUGACAGGCUCUUCACUUGAGCCCUGAUGGUGCAAUUCAGUAUGAAGGGGAAGGGAAAAAGGGCAUGAAAUCUUUGGAGAAGACACAGGUUUAUAGAGCAAUGAAAGAUGGAGUCAUGAUAUUUGAUGACACAGCCACAGAGGACUUCAUGGGGAUGAACGCUUCAGAACAUCUGAAGCAUGCACCGCAAAGAAGUGGAGGACAUGCAGCAGCCACUGAUUAUCCACUGUGGUGCAUCUUGUCAUAGUUUUGUUUACACAGCUUUUGUACAUUGUCUUCUUUUCUGUGUUCAGUAUAGUUGCUUAUGGUUGGAUUCUUACCUCAAAACACUGUAAUUAUUUUCUUAUUUUUAUUUUACCCUCAGUGUUGAUUUUAGAAAGUUAACUGUUCUGCUGGGUUAAGAUGGGGGUUAAUGAAUCCAUCAAUCCUUUUCUAUUACUGGUAGUUUCACUUUCAUUUUAGUUUCGGCAGACAAUCAAAGGUAAAGCAUGUUGGCUUCAACUGAUACACAACAUUGAAGUGAUGUCUGCAUGCAAGCCAUUCAAUUCACGUUCCUUGUUUUUACUGGUAGUUGGCAGGAAAUUCAACAAGUCAAAGCUUUAUUAGUGACAUGUUUGUGAAAGUGAAUAAAAAUAAAGAUGGAAAUAAAUGA